rnacentral:rRNA from 1 species
GCCCUUAGCCAAUCUUAUCUGAUCUUAAAUGCUAAUCAGGAUCCAAUCUGGUUAAUACUUGGAUGGGAAGCUGUUUGGGAAUACUACAUGCUAUAGGCU